rnacentral:rRNA from 1 species
UACGUAGGGUGCAAGCGUUGUCCGGAAUUAUUGGGCGUAAAGAGCUCGUAGGCGGUUUGUCGCGUCGAAUGUGAAAACCCGGGGCUCAACCCCGGGCCUGCAUUCGAUACGGGCAGACUAGAGUUCGGUAGGGGAGUCUGGAAUUCCUGGUGUAGCGGUGAAAUGCGCAGAUAUCAGGAGGAACACCGGUGGCGAAGGCGGGUCUCUGGGCCGAUACUGACACUGAGGAGCGAAAGCGUGGGGAGCGAACAGG